rnacentral:rRNA from 1 species
UACGGGGGGAGCAAGCGUUGUUCGGAUUUACUGGGCGUAAAGGGCGCGUAGGCGGCGUGACAAGUCACUUGUGAAAUCUCCGGGCUUAACCCGGAGCGGCCAAGUGAUACUGUCGUGCUAGAGUGCGGAAGGGGCUACUGGAAUUCUCGGUGUAGCGGUGAAAUGCGUAGAGAUGUGGAGGAACACCGAUGGCGAAGGCAGCCCCCUGGGCCGACACUGACGCUCAGGCACGAAAGCGUGGGGAGCAAACAGG